GGUUAACGCUGGCGGCGUGCCUAACACAUGCAAGUCGAACGGUUCUAAGCGCGAGCUUAGGAUAGUGGCGAACGGGUGAGUAAAAGGUAGGAAUCUACCCCUUGGACGGAGAUAGCUACUGGAAACGGUAGGUAAACUUCGAUAAGCCCGAGAGGGGAAAGUGGUGAGACAGCCGAGGGAUGAGCCUACUCUCCAUCAGGUAGUUGGUGAGAUAAAAGCUUACCAAGCCGAUGACGGAUAACCGGUGUGAGAGCAUGAACGGUCACAAGGGCACUGAGAGACGGGCCCUACUCCUACGGGAGGCAGCAGUGGGGAAUCUUGGACAAUGGGCGAAAGCCUGAUCCAGCGACGCCGCGUGGAGGACGAAGCCCUUCGGGGUGUAAACUCCUUUUCUCAGGGAAAAGGAUGAUGGUACCUGAGGAAUAAGCCCCGGCUAACUACGUG
rnacentral:rRNA from 1 species